GCAACGCCAGAUUGUUAACCCACUGAGCAAGGGCAGGGACCGAACCCGCAACCUCAUGGUUCCUAGUCGGAUUCGCUAACCACUGCGCCACGAUGGGAACUCCUAUUAUAUAUUUUAACUGUCUUUUUACCUAAUAGUCAGUGUCCAUCUUUUGACUGCUCUGUGAGCUCUAAAGCCACAUACAUCAAAUUUACUCAUACUCCUGGUGCUGUGCCUUUUAAAAGUAGACAUCCCAUACAGGUACCGUUCUAGGUGCUGAAAAUAAGCAGUAAGUAAGAGGCUAUUCCAGUUAUUAGCUGCUGUGUGAUAAGUCACUCCAAACCUCACUAGCUUAAAACAACAGUAAUAUUUAGUUGCUUAUGUUUUUAUAUACUUUGUAUACAACUUGAUAGGGAAGGUUUAUUUCUGUGCCCCUUAGUGUCAGCUCAUUGGAGGUUGUAGUUUCUUUCCACUUCUAAGAUGGCUCACUCAACAUGGUUGGCAUUUAAUGCUACCUGCUGUCAUGGGAACUCGAUGUGAGGCCUCUCCAUGUAGUCUGGGUAUGACUGAUGGACUCUGAGAAUGAGUGUCCUAAGAACAAACAUUCUAAGAGGUAGGAAGUGGAAGCAGGCAGUGCUCUUAAGGAUUAGGCUAAAAAUUGAUGAGUGUUACUUCUGCUGUAUUUUUUUUGUUAAAUAGACAGUCACUCCACAUUCAAUGGGAAGAGAAUUAAACUCACUCUUCUGGUGGAGAAAGUGACAGAAAUGUGUGACCAUGUUUAAUCCACUACACAGACCUAACAAACAAACAAAAAACUAUAGAAAUUAUUGGAUGAGUUUGUCUAGGCUUUCAGUCUCCAAAGAAUCAUGAUAAUAAUAUGAUCAGUUUUUAAAAAGUACAAUAUAAAGUGGAAUUUUAAAAAGUAACUGAUUACUAUUCUUAAACAAUAAUUAUAUUUCUUUGUUUUUAUUUGUAUGGUUUCUUAGUUUUUAAGUUUUAAGUGUGCCUAGAACUCCUUUUUAACUAGUUUUGUGUUUUAUUUUUAACUUUUGUAUUUCAUAAGUCCUCAUGCAUUGAUGUUAUAUUCCUAAAUAUAUGUCUAGUAGUGAGAUUAUUGUAUUUAAGGGUAUGUAUAAUUUAGAUUUUUGAUACCUAUUGCCAACUUGCCUAAUAGAUAAUAUUAAUUUGUACCCCAACUUUUAAUUCAGGGUAUAAAUUACAUUUGCCUGUAACCUUGCUAUCAGAAGGAAUUGUAAAUCAUUGGUUUUUGUUAACCUAAUGGUAAAAGUUGAUAGGUUGCUUUUAUUACUUCUUUAUGCCUAUUUAUGUCCUUUGUCCAUUUUGGGAGGUGUUUAUUUUCUUAAUGAUUUUGAAGAGCUUUUUGUAUGUUAUAGAUUUUGACCCUAUUACAUAUAUUGUAAGUAUCCUCAAUUUUGUCUUUCAAUUUUGCUUAUACUUCUAAAAAAUUCAUAUGAAGAAUUAUUACAUUUUUAUGUAGUUCCAUAUAUUAGUCUUUUUCUUUAUGAUUUUCUUUCUUGGCAAAAACAAUUUUUUUUGGUUUUUUUUGGGUUUUUUUUUUUGCUUUUUUUAGGGCUGAACCUGCAGUAUAUGGAAGUUCCUAGGCUAGAGGUCAAAUAGGAGCCACAGCUGUCGGCCUAUGCCACAGCCACAGCAACACCAGAUCAGAGCCAUGUCUGUGACCUACACCACAGCUCACAGCAACAGCAGAUCCUCAGCCCACUGAGCAAGGCCAGGGAUUGAACCUUCAUUCUCAUGGAUCCUAGUUAGGUUCAUUAACUGCCGAGCCACGAAGGGAACUCUGGCAGAAACAAAGUUGAAUUUAGUUCUCCCUUAUUUGUUAUCUUCUUAAAAUUCUGGUCAUCUUCUAGGAGUUUUGUCAGAUAUAGAAUUUUUGUAUAUUAUGCCUGUUUCUAGUAGGGAAAAAUUGGUAGAUUAAUAAAUUCCUUAGUUAAAAAGACGUCUGUUUUGGGCAUUAAUUUCAGAAUCUUGUCCAUCUCUAAUUGUUUUAGGAUAUAAAGGAAUUGGUAUGUUUUGGGGUUUGGAAAAUUUUUGUUGUAAACAGUUCCAGAAAAUCAAGGUGAAUAAAAACAAAUUGUUUCUUGUUGUCAGUGUUACACUCCCCCACAAAAUGAAACUUUUAGUGAUUGAAGUAUAAAAAUAAGCAACCUUUUAAAAUUGAAAAUAGGAUAAUAUAGUCAACUAGGUUAUAUGGACAGGGUAACUCCUUGAAAAGAAAUACUAGAAAAAAAUUUUUUUUUCACAUCUUAAGAGCUAACAUGACAAUAAGACAUCAACAGGCCAAAAUCUACAUGAAAGUAGGAAUUCAGGAAAGUAAGCAGAAUAUUAAAACUGCGUUUCCUUUGAGGAUAUUUGCCAUAUUCUAGGGAACUUUUACUUUGGUCUUGAAGGGCUCACAAAGUAUAGAAAUUAAGGAGGACUCCAAGGAGGAGUCUAAUAGGAAAUUCCUUACUUAAAAAAACUGAGACUUCAAAGAGCUAGGUCUAUAGAAUAUGUUUAAACCAAGAUUAAAAUCCUUCACGUGCUCUUGCUCACAGGAGGCUGCAAGAAUUGUUUUCUUGGG
rnacentral:lncRNA from 1 species